GGGGCUGUAGCUCAGUGGUGGAGUGCUUGCCUAGCAUGUGUGAGGCACUGGGUUCAAACCACAGCACCCCA
rnacentral:tRNA from 1 species